AUUGAACGCUGGCGGCAGGCCUAACACAUGCAAGUCGAGCGAGCGGCGGACGGGUGAGUACUGUCUGGGAAACUGCCUGAUGGAGGGGGAUAACUACUGGAAACGGUAGCUAAUACCGCAUACCAUCAGAUGUGCCCAGAUGGGAUUAGCUAGUAGGUGGGGUAACGGCUCACCUAGGCGACGAUCCCUCGCGGGUCUGAGAGGAUGACCAGCCACACGGGAACGGAGACACGGCCCAGACUCCGACGGGAGGCAGCAGUGGGGAAUAUUGCACAAUGGGCGCAAGCCGGAUGCAGCCAUGCCGCGUGUGUGAAGAAGGCUUUCGGGUUGUAAAGUAUUUUCAGCGGGGAGGCGUUACCCGCAGAAGAAGCACCGGCUAACUACGUGCCAGCAGCCGCGGUAAUUC
rnacentral:rRNA from 1 species